AUGAGGCCUGAUCGACUCCUUUUGUUCGCUGGAGUGGCAGACUCAGUAGAGGAAGCUGAGACCAAGCAGCCGCAGGAACAAGGUGUUUUUGUGACUUGCAGAAAUACCUCCACCUUGCCUGGGCCUGGAGCCACAGGCGACCCUGCCGAAGGUGAAGAAUGUUCUAGAACAAUGCAAGACCUGCCCAGGCUGCCCCCAGGAGCCAGCAUCCUGGGGUCUCUGUGCGGCAUCCAGCAACAUGAGCUUGCAGGACCCC
rnacentral:lncRNA from 1 species